UACGAGGGGGGGCUAGCGUUGCUCGGAAUCACUGGGCGUAAAGGGUGCGUAGGCGGGUCUUUAAGUCAGGGGUGAAAUCCUGGAGCUCAACUCCAGAACUGCCUUUGAUACUGAAGAUCUUGAGUUCGGGAGAGGUGAGUGGAACUGCGAGUGUAGAGGUGAAAUUCGUAGAUAUUCGCAAGAACACCAGUGGCGAAGGCGGCUCACUGGCCCGAUACUGACGCUGAGGCACGAAAGCGUGGGGAGCAAACAGG
rnacentral:rRNA from 1 species